rnacentral:tRNA from 1 species
GCGCCCGUAGCUUAGCCUGGAUAGAGCAUCUGGCUACGAACCAGAAGGUCGGGAGUUCGAAUCUCUCCGGGCGCGCCA